GUCCACGCUGUAAACGAUGGGUACUAGGUGUUCGGGGUAUUGACCCCCUGAGUGCCGCAGCUAACGCAUUAAGUACCCCGCCUGGGGACUACGGCCGCAAGGUUAAAACUCAAAGGAAUUGACGGGGGCCCGCACAAGCGGUGGAGCAUGUGGUUUAAUUCGACGCAACGCGAAGAACCUUACCUGGGCUAGACAACAUCGGACCGCUCCAGAGAUGGAGCUUUCCCGCAAGGGACUGGUGGUUCAGGUGCUGCAUGGCUGUCGU
rnacentral:rRNA from 1 species